rnacentral:rRNA from 1 species
UACGUAGGGUGCAAGCGUUAUCCGGAAUUAUUGGGCGUAAAGAGCUCGUAGGCGGUUUGUCGCGUCUGCUGUGAAAACUGGAGGCUCAACCUCCAGCCUGCAGUGGGUACGGGCAGACUAGAGUGCGGUAGGGGAGAUUGGAAUUCCUGGUGUAGCGGUGAAAUGCGCAGAUAUCAGGAGGAACACCGAUGGCGAAGGCAGCUCGCUGGGACGGUACUGACGCUGAGGCGCGAAAGCGUGGGGAGCAAACAGG